rnacentral:rRNA from 1 species
UACGGAGGGGGCUAGCGUUGUUCGGAAUUACUGGGCGUAAAGCGCACGUAGGCGGGUUGUUAAGUCAGGGGUGAAAUCCUGGAGCUCAACUCCAGAACUGCCUUUGAUACUGGCAACCUAGAGGCUGGAAGAGGUUAGUGGAAUUCCCAGUGUAGAGGUGAAAUUCGUAGAUAUUGGGAAGAACACCAGUGGCGAAGGCGGCUAACUGGUCCAGAUCUGACGCUGAGGUGCGAAAGCGUGGGGAGCAAACAGG